CUAACGGUUACAGAGCAAAAUCAUAUCCCGACUCAAGCAGUGGUACAGGGCUUGCAAUGGAUCGGGGAAAUCGAUGUAGACUGGUCCCAGCAGCUCCCCACACUGCAGCCAUCUCAAACAAGCAAGGUGGAUAGCCAAUCUGGAUAGCAACAAUUGACCGAGAAUGUAGGAGAUGAGAAAGUCCAGGUAUCUCAGCCAAGCAAUGCUGUCUG